UGACCUCAGAUCAGGCAAGGCUACCCGCUGAAUUUAAGCAUAUUAAUAAGCGGAGGAAAAGAAACUAACAAGGAUUCCCCUAGUAAUGGCGAAUGAAGCGGGAACAGCUCAAAUUUAAAAUCUCCGUUGCUUGCAACGGCGAAUUGUAGUUUCGAGAAGCACUUUCUCGGCGGAUCCGAGGUCGUCCAAGUUGCUUGGAACAGCACGUCGUAGAGGGUGAAAACCCCGUCUGCGGCGACCUCGGCCGUUCACGAUGUGCUUUCGACGAGUCGGGUUGUUUGGGAAUGCAGCCCAAAAUGGGUGGUAAACUCCAUCUAAAGCUAAAUAUUGGCACGAGACCGAUAGCGAACAAGUACCGUGAGGGAAAGAUGAAAAGCACUUUGAAAAGAGAGUUAAAAAGUACGUGAAACCGUUAAAAGGGAAACGAAUGGGGUUAGCAAUGCGUCGUGCGAGAUUCAGCCGGUGGGUGGGCCAGGCGGGCGGUUGGCGGAUCUGAAUGGACCGCUGCCGUUCGGGUUGGUUUCCCGACCGUCGCACUUCUCGCAGGCGCGCGACAACGUCGGUUAGGGCUGGGUCUCAAAGGCGGUGGAAAGGUAGGUUUGGACUCUCGGGCCCGAACUGUUACAGUCCUCCGUUUGUCAUGGCCCGGACCUGACCGAGGAGCUUGCGGUGCAUGCCGUUCGGCUAGGGUCCCGUCUUCCCGGUAG
rnacentral:ncRNA from 1 species